GUAAAAGGACUUAACACGUGCAGUAAACAAAGUCCAUCUAAAGGUACUACUGCUACGUACAUACAUGUUCUAUCAACUUAACACCAGCCAUUUAUAUGUGUACAUGCAGGAGUCGGUAGAAGCACAACAACUAGGAGAACAGGUGCACAAAUAAUACACAAAUUAGAUGAUAGCUCGUUGUCAAACCCGGCCAUCUGAUUUUCUUACUGCACUUUUGUUUGCAAAGGAUCAUCAGCAGGCUGGACAUGGCUAAGUUAAAGCAGCAUCUUCGUCACCUAAGGCAGCCAUUGAAGAUGCAACGUCAGCUUCCCAAAUGGCGGUAUGAUUGAAAGUUUGNNNNNNNNNNNNNAAACAAUGUGUUGAAGUGAAGGCGGAACCAUAUUAAAAUGCUGCUGCUGCUGUUGAGGUUGCUGUUGUUGAUUAAGCAAGAACAGAUUUUCAUUUUCAUUGAUCAAAGAAUCCAGAAAUGAAGAGAAAGUAUCCUCAUUUCCAUUUCCAAUGUAAUUAUAUUCUGCAUUGCUUUGUCCUUGAUCACUUUGUAAACCCAUAACUAGAGCAUCACAAUUCAGCCGGUUAUCGUUACCAUCUGCCACAACCAUUGGGUUUUGAUAAUGAUCCAGGUUAGUCAUAUUGAAAGUUUGGCUCACUUUGGUAGCUAUAACUCGAUAGGUCCUGCCAGUUUCUUCUAAAUCAACAGAUGUCGGCCCGGAAUUUUGGUUUUGACCUUGCGGAAAUUGGGACGAAUUAGGGUUAGGGUUCAAUGGCUUGUGGGUCCUUGGAUCAAUCCCUUGGCUAAUCAGCUUCUUGCUGAGAUGGGUAUUCCAGUAGUUCUUAAUCUCAUUGUCCGUUCGUCCUGGAAUCCUCCCAGCUAUCAAAGACCACCUGUUACCGAG
rnacentral:misc_RNA from 1 species